GGUUAAGUUAUUAAGGGCGCAUGGUGGAUGCCUUGGCACUAGGAGCCGAUGAAGGACGGGGCUAUCACCCGGUAUGCUUCGGGGAGCUGUACGUAAGCUUUGAUCCGGAGAUUUCCGAAUGGGGAAACCCAGCAGUUUUAAUCAACUGUUACUGCACAGUGAAUUCAUAGCUGUGCAGAGGUAGACGUGGGGAACUGAAACAUCUCAGUACCCACAGGAAGAUAAAGAAAUUUCGAUUCCCUCAGUAGCGGCGAGCGAACGGGGAACAGCCCAAACCAAUGAGCUUGCUCAUUGGGGUUGUAGGACUGAACAUUUGAGUUACCAAAGUCAUUGAUAACCGAACAAUCUGGGAAGGUUGGCGAUACCGGGUGAUAGCCCCGUAGGUGAAAUCAAUGACCCUCAGUUCAGGAUCCUGAGUACGGCGACACACGUGAAACGUCGUCGGAAUCCGGGAGGACCAUCUCCCAAGGCUAAAUACUCCCUAGUGACCGAUAGUGAACCAGUACCGUGAGGGAAAGGUGAAAAGCACCCCGGAAGGGGAGUGAAACAGUUCCUGAAACCAUGUGCCUACAAGCAGUUAGAGCCCGUUAAUGGGUGAUAGCGUGCCUCUUGUAGAAUGAACCGGCGAGUUACGGUAGCAUGCGAGGUUAAGGUGUUAAAGCCGGAGCCGCAGCGAAAGCGAGUCUGAAAUGGGCGUUUUAGUAUGUUGCUGUAGACCCGAAACCAGGUGAUCUUACCCAUGUCCAGGCUGAAGGUGCGGUAAAACGCACUGGAGGGCCGAACCCGUGUACGUUGAAAAGUGCUGGGAUGAGGUGUGGGUAGCGGUGAAAUUCCAAACGAACUUGGAGAUAGCUGGUUCUCUCCGAAAUAGCUUUAGGGCUAGCCUCGGACGUAGAAUCAUGGAGGUAGAGCCACUGUUUGGACGAGGGGCCCGUCAUGGGUUACUAAGUUCAGAUAAACUCCGAAUACCAUUGAUUUUUAUCCGGGAGUCAGACGGUGAGUGAUAAGAUCCAUCGUCGAAAGGGGAACAGCCCAGACCGCCAGUUAAGGUCCCUAAAUAUAUGCUAAGUGGAAAAGGAUGUGGAGUUGCAUAGACAACUAGGAUGUUGGCUCAGAAGCAGCCACCAUUUAAAGAGUGCGUAAUAGCUCACUAGUCGAGUGAUUUCCGCGCCGAAAAUUUACCGGGGCUAAGCAUAUUACCGAGACUGCGGACAUGAACUUUGUUCAUGUGAUAGGAGAGCGUUCUAAGGGCAAUGAAGCCAGACCGUAAGGACUGGUGGAGCGCUUAGAAGUGAGAAUGCCGGUAUGAGUAGCGAAAGAUCAGUGAGAAUCUGAUCCACCGAAUGACUAAGGUUUCCUGGGGAAGGCUCGUCCUCCCAGGGUUAGUCGGGACCUAAGCCGAGGCCGCAAGGCGUAGGCGAUGGAUAACAGGUUGAGAUUCCUGUACUAGUUGAUGAUGUUUGAGCGAUGGAGGGACGCAGGAGGCUAAG
rnacentral:ncRNA from 1 species